GUUAUAAUGUAUAGUAGUGGGUUGUUAGUGAUAUGUUAUAUUAUGUAAAGUAGACUAGGUUAUAAUGUAUAGUAGUGGGUUGUUAGUGAUAUGUUAUAUUAUGUAAAGUAGACUAGGUUAUAAUGUAUAGUAGUGGGUUGUUAGUGAUAUGUUAUAUUAUGUAAAGUAGACUAGGUUAUAAUGUAUAGUAGUGGGUUGUUAGUGAUAUGUAGAUGUUAUAUUAUGUAAAGUAGACUAGGUUAUAAUGUAUAGUAGUGGGUUGUUAGUGAUAUGUAGAUGUUAUAUUAUGUAAAGUAGACUAGGUUAUAAUGUAUAGUAGUGGGUUGUUAGUGAUAUGUAGAUGUUAUAUUAUGUAAAGUAGACUAGGUUAUAAUGUAUAAUAGUGGGUUGUUAGUGAUAUGUUAUAUUAUGUAAAGUAGACUAGGUUAUA